rnacentral:rRNA from 1 species
UACGGAGGGUGCUAGCGUUGUUCGGAAUCACUGGGCGUAAAGCGCGUGUAGGCGGCCCAUCAAGUCUGAUGUGAAAGCCCGGGGCUCACCCCCGGAAGUGCAUUGGAAACUGUUGGGCUCGAGUCCCGGAGAGGAGGGUGGAAUUCCAGGUGUAGCGGUGAAAUGCGUAGAUAUCUGGAGGAACACCGGUGGCGAAGGCGGCAUCCUGGACCGGUAUUGACGCUGAGGCGCGAAAGCCAGGGGAGCAAACGGG